GAUGAACGCUGGCGGCGUGCCUAAUACAUGCAAGUCGAGCGAACGGACGAGAAGCUUGCUUCUCUGAUGUUAGCGGCGGACGGGUGAGUAACACGUGGAUAACCUACCUAUAAGACUGGGAUAACUUCGGGAAACCGUAGCUAAUACCGGAUAAUAUUUUGAACCGCAUGGUUCAAAAGUGAAAGACGGUCUUGCUGUCACUUAUAGAUGGAUCCGCGCCGCAUUAGCUAGUUGGUAAGGUAACGGCUUACCAAGGCAACGAUGCAUAGCCGACCUGAGAGGGUGAUCGGCCACACUGGAACUGAGACACGGUCCAGACUCCUACGGGAGGCAGCAGUAGGGAAUCUUCCGCAAUGGGCGAAAGCCUGACGGAGCAACGCCGCGUGAGUGAUGAAGGUCUUCGGAUCGUAAAACUCUGUUAUUAGGGAAGAACAUAUGUGUAAGUAACUGUGCACAUCUUGACGGUACCUAAUCAGAAAGCCACGGCUAACUACGUA
rnacentral:rRNA from 1 species